rnacentral:lncRNA from 1 species
GUUCCCAAACCACCCCAGAGACCUAAAGCCACACGCAGGCCAGAGGCACCCCAAAUCCAGCCUGCUCAUGAGCCGGUCACAUUUGGAAGCGAAGCCCCUGCCCUAGCCAUAGUUACUACUACAGACAUUGCACCUGUAAUUUCGAGAACCAAGGCAUCAGUGACAACAUUAGCUCCAAAAUCGUCAAGACCAAGAACUCGUCAACGUCCCAAAUACAAAGCCACCCCCAGCCCAAAGAUACCUCAGACUAAACCAGCAGACUUGGGACCUAUCACUGCUGAGCCAUCUUUAGCUUCAACAACAAAAAAAGUCCGCCGUCCACGUCCCAAACCUAAAACCACACCCCACCCAGAAGUACCUCAGACAAUUUUGG